GCUAACGGCAGUUGCUCCUUAAUAAGGAAAGACGGGUCGGGGCUGACAAAGACAGGUCAGUAAGUAGUACAGCGGUAAGUAACAAAUCCGCAAAUCGAAAUGAGCCAGGAAAACUGGAUGAUACG
rnacentral:ncRNA from 1 species